CGCGUAGGUGGAUGAUUGUGUUGGAUGUGAAAGCCCCGGGCUUAACCUGGGAAUGGCAUUCAAAACUGAUUGUCUAGAGUGAAGCAGAGGUGAGUGGAAUUUCCGGAGUAGCGGUGAAAUGCGUAGAUACCGGAAGGAACACCAGUGGCGAAGGCGACUCACUGGGCUUUAACUGACACUGAGGCGCGAAAGCGUGGGGAGCAAACA
rnacentral:rRNA from 1 species